GACGUAGGGCGCGAGCGUUGUCCGGAUUUAUUGGGCGUAAAGAGCUCGUAGGCGGCUCGUUGCGUCAACCGUGAAAACCCGGGGCUUAACUUCGGGCUUGCGGUUGAUACGGGCGGGCUGGAGUUCGGUAGGGGAGACUGGAAUUCCUGGUGUAGCGGUGAAAUGCGCAGAUAUCAGGAGGAACACCGAUGGCGAAGGCAGGUCUCUGGGCCACUACUGACGCUGAGAAGCGAAAGCAUGGGGAGCGAACAGG
rnacentral:rRNA from 1 species